UGAACCAACGAGCGGGGGUGUGGUCCAGGGAACGGCCCAGAAGAGAAGGUGUUUCUGGGAGUACCGCCACGCUCACGCACGGGACUCUGGGAGACAGAGAAGACUGGAGGGGAGGUCCGAUCGGUCUCUCUCCUGGAGCCUCUAGCACCCUACCUAGUACCCUCAUACCGCAGAGAGGGUAAGCACACUAGCACCCUACCUAGUACCCUAUACCGCAGAGAGGGAAAGAAGGGAAGGCGUAAAGCGAGGAAGACGGACGCCAGCGACCUGACCCCUAACCCYGUGAAGCUCACAAACAUCGGCGAACAGCUGCAGAAGCUCAACGCCACCAUAGAUGGGAUGGGUCCUGUUAACGACCUGCCUGUUGUGGCCAGGGCACGCUCCCGCAAAGAGAAGAACAAACUAGCUUCCAGGGCCUGUCGGUUGAAGAAGAAAGCGCAACACGAAGCCAACAAGAUCAAGCUGUGGGGACUCAACCAGGAGUACGAGAACCUUUUGGGGGCGUUGCUGAGGAUCAAGGAAGUGAUUGCGUCAGCGGGGGGGAGCGCAGCGGAG